AAUUUAUCUUGAUUAAUUCAAACUUUACAAAAUCCCCCGAAUCUCAACUGGAUUUAAUCAGUAUUCGACUUCAAUUGAGCAGCCAUACCUACGGAUUAAGUGGGAAUGGAUUUUUUCUUAUCAACUAUUCAUUCGUUUCUACGGUUUGCAACACUCUUUUGACAUAUUUUAUUAUAAGUGUGCAAUUCCAGUCCAGAGGAUUAUAAGAAAAAGUAGUACGCAAUAUUUUGAUUGUUAAAGUAUGCAUUUCCAAUAUUUGAUUCCAUAAAAGAAAAUUUUCAUAAUUUUCUUUGAAGAUACAGAUGUACAUAAAAUUAAAAAAGGUCGGUGUUGACUUGAA